GAGUUUGAUCCUGGCUCAGAUUGAACGCUGGCGGAAUGCUUUACACAUGCAAGUCGAGCGGCAGCGCGGGGCAACCUGGCGGCGAGCGGCGAACGGGUGAGUAAUGCAUCGGAACAUGUCCUGUCGUGGGGGAUAGCCCGGCGAAAGCCGGAUUAAUACCGCAUACGUCCGAGAGGAGAAAGUGGGGGACCGCAAGGCCUCACGCGAUUGGGUUGGCCGAUGUCCGAUUAGCUAGUUGGUGGGGUAAAGGCCCACCAAGGCGAUGAUCGGUAGCUGGUCUGAGAGGAUGAUCAGCCACACUGGGACUGAGACACGGCCCAGACUCCUACGGGAGGCAGCAGUGGGGAAUUUUGGACAAUGGGGGCAACCCUGAUCCAGCCAUUCCGCGUGAGUGAAGAAGGCCUUCGGUUGUAAG
rnacentral:rRNA from 1 species